UCACCAGACUCCUACGGGAGGCAGCAGUGAGGAAUAUUGGUCAAUGGCCGAGAGGCUGAACCAGCCAAGUCGCGUGAGGGAAGACGGCCCUACGGGUUGUAAACCUCUUUUGUCGGGGAGCAAAGCGAACCACGUGUGGUUCAUUGAGAGUACCCGAAGAAAAAGCAUCGGCUAACUCCGUGCCAGCAGCCGCGGUAAUACGGAGGAUGCGAGCGUUAUCCGGAUUUAUUGGGUUUAAAGGGUGCGCAGGCGGAGGUGCAAGUCAGCGGUCAAAUUGCGGGGCUCAACCCCGUACUGCCGUUGAAACUGUGUCCCUUGAGUGCGCGAAGGGUAGGCGGAAUGCGUGGUGUAGCGGUGAAAUGCAUAGAUAUCACGCAGAACUCCGAUCGCGAAGGCAGCCUACCGGCGCGCAACUGACGCUCAUGCACGAAAGCGUGGGUAUCGAACAGGAUUAGAUACCCGAGUACAU
rnacentral:rRNA from 1 species